UACGAAGGGGGCUAGCGUUGUUCGGAAUUACUGGGCGUAAAGGGUGCGUAGGCGGCUUCUUAAGUCUGGUGUGAAAUCUCCCGGCUCAACUGGGAGGGUGCGCCGGAUACUGAGGGGCUAGAGUGUGGGAGAGGAAAGUGGAAUUCCUGGUGUAGCGGUGAAAUGCGUAGAUAUCAGGAGGAACACCGGUGGUGUAAACGGCUUUCUG
rnacentral:rRNA from 1 species